rnacentral:ribozyme from 1 species
UACAGAAGCUUCAACACUAGCGGUAGCAAAUGCCCACGUGGUGUUGGCAAUAUCUUGAGGAUUAAAUUUAUAACCAGAGACUACUGAAAGUGAAGAAGAAGAUUGAAACAUUGGUGGUGUAAAUUAGAAAAGAAUUUGAUCCAUGAAUAGAAAUCUUAUAGUAUGACACAGCAAGACCAGAAAAUAAGGAAAUGC